rnacentral:rRNA from 1 species
GAUGAACGCUGGCGGCGUGCCUAAUACAUGCAAGUCGAGCGAACGGACGAGAAGCUUGCUUCUCUGAUGUUAGCGGCGGACGGGUGAGUAACACGUGGAUAACCUACCUAUAAGACUGGGAUAACUUCGGGAAACCGGAGCUAAUACCGGAUAAUAUUUUGAACCGCAUGGUUCAAAAGUGAAAGACGGUCUUGCUGUCACUUAUAGAUGGAUCCGCGCUGCAUUAGCUAGUUGGUAAGGUAACGGCUUACCAAGGCAACGAUGCAUAGCCUACCUGAGAGGGUGAUCGGCCACACUGGAACUGAGACACGCUCCAGACUCCUACGGGAGGCAGCAGUAGGGAAUCUUCCGCAAUGGGCGAAAGCGUGACGGAGCAACGCCGCGUGAGUGAUGAAGGUCUUCGGAUCGUAAAACUCUGUUAUUAGGGAAGAACAUAUGUGUAAGUAACUGUGCACAUCUUGACGGUACCUAAUCAGAAAGCCACGGCUAACUACGUG